rnacentral:rRNA from 1 species
UACAGAGGGGGCAAGCGUUGUUCGGAAUUACUGGGCGUAAAGGGCGCGUAGGCGGCCUGUUAAGUCGAACGUGAAAUCCCCGGGCUCAACCCGGGAACUGCGUCCGAUACUGGCAGGCUUGAAUCCGGGAGAGGGAUGCGGAAUUCCAGGUGUAGCGGUGAAAUGCGUAGAUAUCUGGAGGAAUACCGGUGGCGAAAGCGACUCUCUGGACGGCAACUGACGCUGAGGCACGAAAGCGUGGGGAGCAAACAGG